UGUAACUGCCACAUGCCUCAUUUUUUUUUCUAGCAAGCCAGAGCAUAGUUUACUCACACGCUUGUAUAUCAGUAUCGAUUGCAUGGGUACAGAAAGGUAAGUUAGUUCAGUUUUUUUUUGCACUAUCAGAGGCUUCAAGGCCAACUUUAAUGUCAGUAUUUCUGCCAAUUUAUUAUUAUCAAAAGAGCAAACUCCCCAGGACAGAAGCCCCAAUAGAAAAAGUAGGAAAGGGGCAAUAGGACAUAUUUUUGUCCAACAUUACCAGUGGUACCACAAUAGUAGAGUAUAUUUAAUGAGUAAUAUGAUUGAUUUAUAUCGUUAUAUAGGUUAGAAUUGAUCUAUAUGAAUGUGAUGUUGGAUGGGACAGCCAUGGUGUUAUUUAAGACUAAACAUUAACAUCUUGGAAUUUGUUCAGAGGCUGAAUUAUGAGAAAUACCACAGCACUUGGGCUCUAUGCAAUAAAACUUACAUAUGAUGGUAAAUAAGUUGCUUAAAUCUGGAUAUGUAAAUAGCUGGACACUGAACUAAAUGCGGAAUCCCAAAAUGGCUCCCUAUAAUACAUUACAUCGACUUUGGAAGAGAUUAUUAAAUGCACAUUAAAUGUAGUGCACUUACGUAGGGAGUGAUGUUUACCUCAUGGGACUUAUAGAUUAGACACAUUAAAAAAUGUGUUUAUUAACAUAAUGCCUAAUACAUUUUUUUUUGUUGUUGAACUUAGCAAUUGUAUCGACAGAAUAAAGCAACAAUUUGUUUUAUGGAUGUCUACAGCUUUAAAAAGAUGGAUUAUACUGUUUCAGAAGAUGAGUAAGAUAUGCCAGAGCUAAUCUAUUUCGAGAUUUGUUUCUUUAUCAAAAUCUUGUAGUUGAUGUCAAACUUUAAUAGGCAGCCAGGGUAAGCUGAAUAAAAUUGGAGUAAUCGGACGUUAUUUUACUGGAAAGAACACAAGCUGCAGUAUUCUGGAUUAGUUAAAGCUUAUUUAAACCUAGAGCCAGCUAGCAACACAUUACAAUGAUCCAAUCUAAUGGUGCAGUUUUAUCAGGAUUUAGCAGCAGGAAGUUUCUAGUCAUCCAUGCAUCCAUUUUGUGUAACUGUGCUGCUGAAUCUGGCUGGACUGAUAAGUAGAUCUGUGUAUUGUAAGUUUAGAAGUAGAAAUUAACAUUAUAUUUAUAGAUGAAAUGUCUCAGAUGCUCUAUAUAGAGUGAAAAGGGUCGAGAGGAGAACCCUCGUGGAUGCCAUAUUGAAUGUUUUAAGUUAUGAAAGAUCUCUAUUGAUUCUUAAAACUUUCAGUCUAAACCGGGCAAAAACAUAAUCAUCUAAACCAACCAUGUUUUUAAGCCUAUUGAGUAAAUAUCAUGGCUGAAAGUGUCAAAUGCUGCCAGGAAAGUCCAACAAAACCGAAAGAGAACCACAAUCUGAAGUCAGCAGCAGAUCAGUGACCACUUCCUCUAGUGCUGAUUCUGCUUCCUGAACUCUGACUGGAUACAUCAUGCUUAUUAUUCUUCUUUAGAAAAGAACAGCGCUGUUGUGCAGCAGUCUUCUCCAAACGUGACAGAUGUUUACUGUGAAAAAGAACGUUUUAAAACCUCCCCAUGGCCGCUGGAUUGUACAUCAACGUUGCCACCAUAUCAAUCUGGGCAACUUGCCAUAAAUCUCAUAAGUGAACAGGUGAACAGAUACUUGACUCAGCUUGGGACAAUACAAACCAUCACACAUUCCAAAACCAGACUUCACAGGUUUCCCCCAAAGAGAAACUGUUGAGGAGGCAGUGGGAAGGAGCUGUAAGAAGGGAAGGUGUUUCCGCAAGCGAGUCUUCCGUACUGUCCUGAGAGCACUUCAUGCCUUCAGAUUCUAUUAUUUAAUUAUUUUGAUUUUAUUAUUGACUACAUUAUGCUACUGUUUAUACUACAUAUACAAUUUGCUAUUAUCAAUUGAUUAUUAUUAUUAUUAUUAUUAUAUUAUUAUUAUUAUUAUUACCACAGAAAUGUUUUACCACUGUAACUUUAUCUGUCAAUGUUUUACCGGAUCCACACAGGUUAGUCAUUGUUAUUGUCUGUUUUGGAGUACAUCUGUAUGCUUUUAUUGCUAAUAAAAAAUAUAGAAAGCA